rnacentral:rRNA from 1 species
GCUCUUCGUUCGUUACGAGAAGAGGAGUCUGGCCUGCCCGGUGACUAGGUGAGAUAAGCCUAUUGUUAAACGGUUAUGUAAUGUACUAAGGUAGCGUGGUCAAUAGCUCCUUAAUUGGGGGACAGUAUGAAGGUCUGGACGUUGGGCAACUGUUUCUUGUAUAAUUGGAGAAAUUUCUUUUUGAGUGAAAAAGCUUAGGUUUAAACAAUAGACGAGAAGACCCUGUUGAACUUGAUUAGAGUGUGCAGUAGCUUAGAUGGUUUGGCUGUAACUUUGAAGUUUUACUGGGGCAUUAGAUGGCUAAAAGGAACGCUUUCUUGGAUAUAGUAAUGAGGACCCCUUAUGAAGGUCAUAAGCAAAAGUUACCACAGGGAUAACAGCGUAAUCCCCCAAGGGAGAUCUUAUUUCAGGGGGGGUUUGCGACCUCGAUGUUGAAUUAGGGUGUCUUUCGCGGCGCAGAAGCUGGAGGGAGUAAGACUGUUCGUCUUUUAAAGUCCU